rnacentral:rRNA from 1 species
CCCUUAGAGUUUGAUCCUGGCUCAGGAUGAACGCUAGCUACAGGCUUAACACAUGCAAGUCGAGGGGCAGCAUUUCAGUUUGCUUGCAAACUGGAGAUGGCGACCGGCGCACGGGUGAGUAACACGUAUCCAACCUGCCGAUAACUCGGGGAUAGCCUUUCGAAAGAAAGAUUAAUACCCGAUAGUAUAAUGAAACCGCAUGGUCUUAUUAUUAAAGAAUUUCGGUUAUCGAUGGGGAUGCGUUCCAUUAGGCAGUUGGUGAGGUAACGGCUCACCAAACCUUCGAUGGAUAGGGGUUCUGAGAGGAAGGUCCCCCACAUUGGAACUGAGACACGGUCCAAACUCCUACGGGAGGCAGCAGUGAGGAAUAUUGGUCAAUGGGCGCAGGCCUGAACCAGCCAAGUAGCGUGAAGGAUGACUGCCCUAUGGGUUGUAAACUUCUUUUAUAUGGGAAUAAAGUUUUCCACGUGUGGAAUU